rnacentral:rRNA from 1 species
GACGACCGCUGGCGGCGUGCCUAAUACAUGCAAGUAGGACGCAGUUGCGAACGGGUGAGUAACGCGUAUGUAACUACCUAUUAGAGGGGGAUAACUCUUGGAAACGCUAGCUAAUACCGCAUACUCGUAGAUGGACCUGCGUUGUAUUAGCUAGCAGGUAGGGUAAUGGCCUUCCUAGGCAACGAUACAUAUCCGACCUGGGGAGGGGGUCGGCUACACCGGGGAGGGGGCACGGCCCAGAAUCCUAAGGGAGGCAAGAGUAGGGAAACUUCGGGAAAGGGGGGAAAGCUGGCCGGGCAAAGGCGCGUGAGUGAAGAAAGUUUUCGGAUCGUAAAGCUCUGUUGGUAAGGGAGCGGUACUUAACCAGAAAGUGACGGCUAACUACGUGCCAGCAGCCGCGGUAAUUC